rnacentral:rRNA from 1 species
AGUGAACGCUGGCGGCGUGCCUAAUACAUGCAAGUCGAACGAAGUGGCGCACGGGUGAGUAAUAUAUAGUGAAUAUGCCCUACACAGAGGAAAAACCGUUGGAAACGGCUGCUAAUACCCCAUAGUGUAGGAUGAGACUAUAUCGUAUCAGCUAGUUGGUAAGGUAAUGGCUUACAAAGGCGAUGACGCGUAACUGGUCUGAGAGGAUGAUCAGUCACAUUGGACCGGAGACACGGUCCAGACUCCUUCGGGAUGCAGCAGUAAUGAAUAUUGCGCAAUGGGGGUGUGUCUGGCGCAUCUUCGCCUCGUGGAGCAUGACACUUUUCGAAGAGUAAACUCCUUUUAUCAGCAAAGCGGUACCUGCUGAAUAAGCACCGGCUAAUUCCGUGCCAGCAGCCGCGGUAAUAC